AGAAUCAACGCUGGCGGCGUGCCUAACACAUGCAAGUCGAACGAGAAAGUGGAGCAAUCCAUGAGUAAAGUGGCGCACGGGUGAGUAACACGUGACUAACCUACCCUUGAGUGGGGGAUAACCUAGGGAAACCUGGGCUAAUACCGCAUAAUAUCGAGAGAUCAAAGGAGCAAUUCGCUUAAGGAGGGGGUCGCGGCUGAUUAGCUAGUUGGUGAGGUAAUGGCUCACCAAGGCUAUGAUCAGUAUCCGGCCUGAGAGGGCGCACGGACACACUGGAACUGAAACACGGUCCAGACUCCUACGGGAGGCAGCAGUGGGGAAUUUUGCGCAAUGGGGGAAACCCUGACGCAGCAACGCCGCGUGGAGGAUGAAGUACCUUGGGACGUAAACUCCUUUCGAUCGGGACGAUAAUGACGGUACCGGAAGAAGAAGCCCGGCUAACUUCGCGCCAGCAGCCGC
rnacentral:rRNA from 1 species